UACGUAGGGGGCAAGCGUUGUCCGGAAUCAUUGGGCGUAAAGAGCGCGUAGGCGGCCCUGUAAGUCCGCUGUGAAAGUCAAGGGCUCAACCCUUGGAUGCCGGUGGAUACUGCAGGGCUAGAGUCCGGAAGAGGCGAGUGGAAUUCCUGGUGUAGCGGUGAAAUGCGCAGAUAUCAGGAAGAACACCAACGGCGAAGGCAGCUCGCUGGGCUGACACUGACGCUCAUGCACGAAAGCGUGGGGAGCAGACAGG
rnacentral:rRNA from 1 species